GCUGGUUUUUUUAUAAGAGUUAUUUUUUUAGGCUAAAGUUCAAUUACAAAUGUGAAGAAAUGUAAUUAAUUGAUGAUUACUUGUGUUCAAGAAAUGCAGUACGUGAACCUGUAAAUAGCUGUGGUGUUUUUUUUUUUAUAAAAUUUGAUAUGUUCAUGGUUAUUUGAACAAUGGCUUGAUAUUGAUCAUUAUUAAUAUCUUUACACCUGCUCUGCAAGAUUUUUGUGAUGCUUAGGGUAGUAAGCAUUGGCAAUUUUAAGUUGUGUGCUUUCUGCUCUUAAAAGUUUUAGAUGGCAAAACGCUUUUGUUAAAAACAAAAAAUUUUAACUCGCUUUGAAGAUAUUUUCUGAAUGUUCCAAGUAAGAAGCAUGUUGUUUGGUGGUUGUCUUUUUUUGGUGCAGUUCAUAUUUGCUUUUUGUUUCUGGUUUGAAGUUAGCAGUUACAUGUAUAGUAUACAUGUAACUGCUAACUUUGACUACACUGUGUCUAACACUUCAUGGAGAGUUGUCUAAUUGUUUUUCCUGCCAUAUUUAAAAAGAUAUUCCCUCUGACAUUUGACUUAUUCAUUAGAAUAAUCUAUAUAAUAAUACAUG
rnacentral:lncRNA from 1 species